UUCUUUUUGCUGCCUUUUCUUUGGUCUUUGCGGCGCUCAUGAGCAUCAAUGCAAAGUUGCGUGAUGCGUAUUGUUUCAUCCUUCUUCUUUCCAGGAGUUUUGACUGUGCGCAUGUGUGCGUCAAGCUCGUCUGAUGUUUUGUAGCAAUUAAUUUUAGUGUGUCUGCAUGUCAGCGCCCCAGGAGGGGGGCUGUAUAAAAGUUUUCCCCACUGCCACAGCUCUCGCCAGGGCUUAUAAUUGCCUUCUAUUACCAGGGCUGGGUGUCACAGCGCCUGCCUGUCUGUCACCAGGAGACUCUCAACUAACAACAGAUGAUGAGGUCCUAAUCCUCCCAUAGCCAGAUCAUGACAAGAAGCGAGGAAUUGCAGUGGUUCCGAAGUGGAGCAGCAGCGAUCAGCCAACUCUUCUAUAGAGACGGCAAUAAGACAUGUGCCAGGAAUGAACGAGACAUCAGCUCACUGAUCCGCCUGACUGGAACGUCAUUCAAGUGGAUAAAUGCAGCCUGAUAUCCAAGGGGAUCACAGUUGAAUGGCGAAACUUUCAGAAGCCAAUAUUCGAUAUUUCAGUGCAUUUCACUGUACUUGGCAUCGUCCAGGCAAAUGGUAGCCACAAAUCCUAACAGGAAGUCAUAACCAAGCACCUGAAAUACAGCGCAAGAGCCUUUUUCGCCAAGCAGAUAGUCGGAGACAUAACCGGCGUCUAAAUAUUUACCCUUCUGGUUCGAGAGCACACAAGAACCCUCCACUGUAAUUGACAAUUCUGGUAAAGAUGUAUUCAAAAGUCUUAAAAUAAAUGGUUGCUAUGGAGA